AGUGAACGCUGGCGGUAGGCCUAACACAUGCCAGUCGAACGGCAGCACAGUAAGAGCUUGCUCUUACGGGUGGCGAGUGGCGGACGGGUGAGGAAUACAUCGGAAUCUACUUUUUCGUGGGGGAUAACGUAGGGAAACUUACGCUAAUACCGCAUACGACCUACGGGUGAAAGCAGGGGAUCUUCGGACCUUGCGCGAUUGAAUGAGCCGAUGUCGGAUUAGCUAGUUGGCGGGGUAAAGGCCCACCAAGGCGACGAUCCGUAGCUGGUCUGAGAGGAUGAUCAGCCACACUGGAACUGAGAAAAGGUGCAGACUCCUACGGGAGGCAGCAGUGGGGAAUAUUGGACAAUGGGCGCAAGCCUGAUCCAGCCCUACCGCGUGGGUGAAGAAGGCCUUCGGGUUGUAAAGCCCUUUUGUUGGGAAAGAAAAGCAGCAGGUUAAUACCCCGCUGUUCUGACGGUACCCAAAGAAUAAGCACCGGCUAACUUCGUG
rnacentral:rRNA from 1 species